GUACAAUGCCUGCUGCACAGUGGGGACGCUGUGAAAGCUUUUUGGAUAACCGUAUGAGUGAAUGACUCCAUUUGCCCCAAAUAACUAGAAGCUCCGUGAAGGCAAGGGUAAUGCUUCUUGUUCACAAAUGGAGAUAUACAUGCCCACAACAUCUACCGAAGUGUCCGGUAUGCGACAUGUUCAAGAAGAAUUUUUUCAACGAUCAAAUCCAUAAAUUUUAGCUGACAAGAAAUGGAACAAAUUUCAGACCUAAAUUCAACUUAGAAAACUAUGUCUGUCUCUGAUCUGAAUUGAAAUACAAAAACAAAAACAAAACGCUAACCUCCUUUUGAUCAAAAAGCAAAUAAAUACCAGGGAGGAGCCAUUCUCACUUCAGCACCCUGGAACCCCAGGAGGGAAAAAAUGAAGGCGAUUGUGACUAUACAAACUCUGAUAAUGUGAUCAGACGGCAGACAGCAGCAGACACCUGUGUCACGGAAGAAGUUUGAGGAUAUCUCGUCAGUUCUCAGAAGUUAAGUGACUUUUUAAAGAUAGUUGUAUGGUUGUUGAAAUAGAGAACUUUUUACAUGAUAAUAGUUCUCCUGUGGAGGAAGGACUGUGGGGUCAAGACGACACUGAAAAAUUCUCAAAUUUGAAAUUCUGCAAAUUCAAGGAUAGUCUUAAAUCAGAGGAGGAUAAAUAUUCAAAAGAUUUGAAUGAGGAAGACUGCUCAUGAUAGAAGGGAGAGAGAACACUUUCAGAUGAAGCUUUGCACGUAUCAGACCACUCUCCCAAUCCCUAUGAAGUUCUGGAAACAGGUUUUGGAGAAGUCAGGUUCUAUACAGGCAGAUGAGUGUCACAGCUGUAACUGAGGCACAGAGCAAUAAACACAGCGGAGCCAAUUUCCACGAUGGCGAGAGGGGCCACCGGAGGUGACAACAAUGACAAGGACUCAAGGACCGUCCUUCUGACAAGUUUUAGCACUGAGUAUCUUCAGGAAAACUGGGUUCCAUAAGAAGUGACAUCCUCCUCGAAUUGAAAGGUA